rnacentral:lncRNA from 1 species
UUUGCUAUUUGGUAAAUGUUUCUCUGCAGUGCAGGUCUCAGUCAGUUGUGGACUACAUAAAGCUGUGACAGAGCAACAUAGUUACAGAUUUCAACAAGAGGAAAAGCAGCCUUUUUAGAGAAAUACACUUAUUUCCCCACGGUGAACAAGGGGAGUCCCUCCCUUGGCUCACUCCCAUUUAUUUGUGGACUUUGGAGGCACUCUGUUUGAAACUAAACACGAUGGCUUAAUUAUGGAAAAUAAAGUGUUGUGGUCCUUUUCUAAUAUUAUUACUCAGUAUGUACUUAUAUGCCAGAGUGCAGGAGCCAAAGUCUCACAGGACGGGUUCCUGCUGUUUGCUGGAAUCUGAUGGAAGUGGAUGGUGUUAGGAGCCCCCCNCCCCCCCCCCCCGGGAAGCUAGUCUUUAGAUCUAUUUGAAAAUCAUGACACUUAGGGCAUUAGUCUUCCUGUCCCUGUUAGAUAAGAGCCCAUGACUUUACAGCCCUUCAUUAAGAAUGCUAGUAUAGAGAUCAAUUGAAAAACUCUUACAUUUCUUUGUUAUUACUUAAGAAAGCAUAAACUUUCCUUGAAUGAUAACUCCUAUCAUUACUUUUAGAGGAGAAAGCAUGUUACAUUUUAAAGGCUAGAAUCCUUUUGUGACAUUGUACUACUUUUAACAAUAGUUUAUUUCUUCUUUUAACAAUUAAAUUUUUAAAAUAU